rnacentral:rRNA from 1 species
GGUAGAGUUUGAUCCUGGCUCAGAACGAACGCUGGCGGCGUGGAUAAGACAUGCAAGUCGAGCGGGACACUUCGGGUAGCAAUAUUCGGAGUGUUCAGCGGCGAAAGGGUGCGUAACACGUGGGCAAUUUGCCAUGAAGUUGGGGAUAACUCGCUGAAAGGCGAGCUAAUACCGAAUGUGGUUUUUGGAAGGCAUCUUCUGGAAACUGAAGUUGGGGACCGUAAGGCCUGACGCUUCAUGAUGAGCCCGCGGCCUAUCAGCUAGUUGGUGAGGUAACGGCUCACCAAGGCUAAGACGGGUAGCUGGUCUGAGAGGACGACCAGCCUCACUGGAACUGAGACACAGUCCAGACACCUACGGGUGGCAGCAGUCGAGAAUUUUUCUCAAUGGGCGAAAGCCUGAAGGAGCGACGCCGCGUGGGGGAUGAAUGGCUUCGGCCCGUAAACCCCUGUCAUUUGCGAACAAACCUUUUCAUUUAACACCUGAAAAGCUGAUUGUAGCGAAAGAGGAAGGGACGGCUAACUCUGUGCCAGCAGCCGCGGUAAUACAGAGGUCCCAAGCGUUGUUCGGAUUCACUGGGCGUAAAGGGUGCGUAGGUGGUCGGGUAAGUCUGAUGUGAAAUCUCUGAGCUCAACUCAGAAACUGCAUUGGAUACUAUCCGGCUAGAGAAUCGGAGGGGGGACUGGAAUACUUGGUGUAGCAGUGAAAUGCGUAGAUAUCAAGUGGAACACCAGUGGCGAAGGCGAGUCCCUGGACGAUUUCUGACACUGAGGCACGAAAGCUAGGGGAGCAAACAGGAUUAGAUACCCUGGUAGUCCUAGCUGUAAACGGUGCACAUUUGCUGUAAAAGGAAUCGACCCCUUUUGUGGCGAAGCUAACGCGUUAAAUGUGCCGCCUGGGAAGUACGGUCGCAAGAUUAAAACUCAAAGAAAUUGACGGGGGCCUGCACAAGCGGUGGAGUAUGUGGCUUAAUUCGAUGCAACGCGAAGAACCUUACCUGGCCUUGACAUGCACUGGACCGUCCGUGAAAGCGGAUUUCCCCGCAAGGGGCUGGUGCACAGGUGCUGCAUGGCUGUCGUCAGCUCGUGUCGUGAGAUGUUGGGUUAAGUCCCGCAACGAGCGCAACCCCUGUGUCCUGUUGCCACCUGAUCGAGAGAUUGGAGCACUCUGGACAGACUGCCUCGCUUAAACGAGGAGGAAGGUGGGGAUGACGUCAAGUCAGUAUGGCCCUUACGGCCAGGGCUGCACACGUACUACAAUGCCCGGCACAAAGGGAAGCAAGACCGCGAGGUGGAGCAAAUCCCCUAAAACCGGGCCCAGUUCAGAUUGAAGGCUGCAACUCGCCUUCAUGAAGCUGGAAUCGCUAGUAAUGGCGCAUCAGCUACGGCGCCGUGAAUACGUUCCCAGGCCUUGUACACACCGCCCGUCACAUCAUGAAAGCCGUUUGUACCCGAAGUCGUCGUGCUAACCGCAAGGAGGCAGAUGCCGAAGGUAUGGAUGGUGAUUGGGAUGAAGUCGUAACAAGGUAACC